GAUGAACGCUGGCGGCGUGCCUAAUACAUGCAAGUCGAGCGAACGGACGAGAAGCUUGCUUCUCUGAUGUUAGCGGCGGACGGGUGAGUAACACGUGGAUAACCUACCUAUAAGACUGGGAUAACUUCGGGAAACCGGAGCUAAUACCGGAUAAUAUUUUGAACCGCAUGGUUCAAAAGUGAAAGACGGUCUUGCUGUCACUUAUAGAUGGAUCCGCGCUGCAUUAGCUAGUUGGUAAGGUAACGGCUUACCAAGGCAACGAUGCAUAGCCGACCUGAGAGGGUGAUCGGCCACACUGGAACUGAGACACGGUCCAGACUCCAACGGGAGGCAGCAGUAGGGAAUCUUCCGCAAUGGGCGAAAGCCUGACGGAGCAACGCCGCGUGAGUGAUGAAGGUCUUCGGAUCGUAAAACUCUGUUAUUAGGGAAGAACAUAUGUGUAAGUAACUGUGCACAUCUUGACGGUACCUAAUCAGAAAGCCACGGCUAGCUACGUG
rnacentral:rRNA from 1 species